UACGUAGGGUGCAAGCGUUGUCCGGAAUUAUUGGGCGUAAAGAGCUCGUAGGCGGUCUGUCGCGUCGGCUGUGAAAACCUGGGGCUCAACUCCGGGCCUGCAGCCGAUACGGGCAGACUAGAAUUCGGUAGGGGAGACUGGAAUUCCUGGUGUAGCGGUGAAAUGCGCAGAUAUCAGGAGGAACACUGGUGGCGAAGGCGGGUCUCUGGGCCGAUAUUGACGCUGAGGAGCGAAAGCGUGGGGAGCAAACAGG
rnacentral:rRNA from 1 species